CACGUAGGGUGCAAGCGUUGUCCGGAAUUAUUGGGCGUAAAGGGCUCGUAGGCGGUCCGUCGCGUCGGGAGUGAAAACUCGGGGCUCAACCCCGAGCCUGCUUUCGAUACGGGCGGACUAGAGGUAGGUAGGGGAGAACGUAAUUCCUGGUGUAGCGGUGGAAUGCGCAGAUAUCAGGAGGAACACCGGUGGCGAAGGCGGUUCUCUGGGCCUUACCUGACGCUGAGGAGCGAAAGCGUGGGGAGCGAACAGG
rnacentral:rRNA from 1 species